AGUUAGAGAAAAACAACAACAAGAGAAUAAGUUUUCUAAACUACGUUUGACCUGAUUCUUGCUAUGACAAGAUACUUAGGCACCCCUACUCCGGGAUUCGGUCCAACCAAAAGAAAAUUUAAAUUGCCCAGAAUGAAAUGAAACUGGGGCAAAAGUUUAUUUUCUUAAAAGAAUCGAUUCCAAAAGUUGUAUGUUUUACCCAUUGUUGUGUAAAUUUUGAGCCUCAUGCCAACCUUUCUUUCUAACCCAGUUCAAAAGCCAAGUUACAACCAAAGAAAGAUCUUCAGAUCAAUCUUUGAGAAUGUCAAGGCUAAACAUGUUAUGGGUGCAUGAUAUUUCAUAUUUUGGGAGUUGUUUUCUAUAAAAAUAAAACGAAUGAAAAUGAGAGAGUCUUAUUCGUGAAAACCCUUUUGGGCGCCAUAAGGUGAUUGUGAGCUGAGAAAGAAAUGAAAAUGAGAUAGUCUCAUUGGCAAAAAUCCAUUGAGGUGCCACUAGCUGAACAUGGGUUGUUAUCUAAAAGAAACAAGUUCAAGAUUGGCUUAAUUUCAAGCUCAAUAAGUGGACAAAAGUUGUACUGAUUGGUGUGGGUAAAUUUGGUUGUUUGAUUCAAAAUGCAUGUCAUAAUCACCAGAAUUGGUUUCCAUAUUCAGAUAAGUUUUUCUUUUUGUUUUGAAAAAGAGAUACCUGUUGUCUUUUCUUUUUCUUUUUAUUUUAUUUUAAUUUUUGAUUUUUUGUGUCCUUGUCAUCAAACAAAAUUUUUGUUGUCUUUUAUCUGUUUUUGAGUCAAAUUCACGCCAGGUCAAGUGAGAAAGGACUCCGAACUUGCUACCAACUUCUUCAAUGUACAAAGCAAGACAAAGGGUCAACGCACAAGAACAACAUUUCAAAGUAUAAUAAAGUAUUCAGAAUGAUUAUGAUUUGAUAAUUUUUGACUCGUUGAAAGAUAAAGGUGUAUGGAAUGUUAAAUUCUGAGAUAUUAUACAAGAGAA
rnacentral:lncRNA from 1 species